UCGGGUUAGACUUUUGUUUACUUGACCUAGAACUUCUCUGCUUACACAGAUGAAGUAAGAAUCCAACAGGCUUCCUAUCCGUCUCACUCCCAGGAAGACCAAGGCCAUGGUCUGAGCCAGGUGGCCUGCUUCCUUGCUGUCCACCGUGGUGACCAUACCCCUCUCGCCCUGGAGCCAACCACCCCAGGAGCCAGUCACUCCCAUGGCACUCCGUUUUCCAGACUGAGUGGCCGUGGCUCCCACUAUAAGUUCUGGCCCACAGAGGAGUGAUUGGAGCCCUUCAGGGGUGCCAGGGCUCCCCUCUCAGGUUUAUUCCUCACCGCUGUGGGAAGAGCUGUGUCUCUGGAUCCUCCCACGUGGGUGAGCAGGUCUCAAAUGAUGGGCCAUCUCCCAGCCUCUGAACCCCUCCUGCAGGAAACAGGCAAGUCCUGCAUUUCCAAUUCAUUCACAGCCAAACAGCCCACUAGAGCCCUUCCUGCCCCGGCACCACGACCUCCGCUGCAGCCUCCACUCAGUGGGGCCCGUGGCCGACAACUUGAUCUUCCCCCCACUGUAUCCCAUACUCUCCUCUGUCCAGGGCUGCUGCUCCCAUAAAUCAGAAGACUCAAGCCCCUCUCUGGGAGCAUAGCCCUCCUCCUCCUCGUGGGUCACACCUCCCUCUUACUCACCUUCGGUAGCCUCAGGGGAGGCCGACACUGGUCACCCAGGCAGUGUGGGGUUGACCUCUUCAGAAGUGGGGGGAGAGGCUGACAUCGGGGGUGCUGCUCUGGGAGAAAGAGGCCCACCUGCGGGGCUGGGUGCUGAGUGCCCCACCCACAUCUUCUCAUUAACUUGGGACAAACUAUCACCCUGGCCUGCCUCCCAGCUCCUGUCCUGUGUUUUCUUGAAUAGGUUUCCUCUGCCUUCUCUAAGGACUGGACACAUCCACUAUGACUUCAGAGGCCAGAAGAACGAGUCUGUAAUGAAAACAGCUCACUACCUGGAAGGGGAUGCCACACCUGGUUACUUGAAGGCCAGAGUGCCCCUGGUCACUGUCUCUAUGCCACACGCCUGGAUUCCUGGGCCUAGAGACAUAAGACAGGCCACCACCAGCAAGAGUGUCCAGCUAUCAACAGGUGUGGCUGGGAAUUCAUAUGUGCCACACCCCAGGGCUACCUGCCCCACUGGUGCAUCCCAGCACAGGGCUGCUGGCUGGGGGAGGGGCAGAGAAAGACUCUGUCCCUCAUACUGGAUGUUUUGGGGACAAAGGAGAAAACGGGGACUCGGACCUCUCCUCAGAGGGAUCUCAUCUCCCUGUGAGCUCCUCACCUGCUAUCGGAACCACAGUGGUGUCGGCACCAUCCAGGGAGCAAGCGACUCUUCUUCCAGAAUUUAA
rnacentral:lncRNA from 1 species